rnacentral:rRNA from 1 species
UGAGAUACUGAGCUCAGUAAGUUAUUUUAUAUUUUAAUCUACUGAGGAUUAGCUCAAUAGAGAAAACAGGAAAAUGUAUUAGUUAAAUAAAUUAUGUAGACUUGAAAUUAGCCAUCAUAACAGAACUUGUUAUAAAACAAUUUAUAAAAUCAAAAAAAUCUUUAUACUUGUUUUCCGGGUCUUAUAAAGGUAGUAGAAAGAAUUAAUAAAUCUAAUUUAUGUAUGCUAGGAUGAGUAUUUUUAAAUUUUAAGAAGGUAAAUUAAUUCGGAAUACCUGUAAUAGUAGUUAUUUACAAGAUAUGAAAUAAAGAGAAGGAACUCGGCAAAUAUCAGCUCCGCCUGUUUAUCAAAAACAUGGCUCUUUGUUAAGUUAAUAUAAAGAGUCUAACCUGCCCAGUGAGUUAUUUAACGGCCGCGGUACAUUGACCGUGCAAAGGUAGCAUAAUCAUUUGCCUUAUAAUUAAAGGCUUGUAUGAAUGGUUUAACGAGAGCAUUGCUGUCUUUUCUUUAAUAGAUAAAAUUUAACUUUUAGGUGAAGAGGCCUAAAUACAAUUGAAAGACAAGAAGACCCUAUCGAGCUUAAAAAUUAGAUUAGGGAUAAAUUAUAAAUUUAGAUUUAUUACUAAGUUUAUUUUUUGAUUGGGGCGAUCAAGGAAUAACAAAAGUUUCCUUUAACUACCUAAACUUAUAAGUAUUGAUCCAGCUAAAGCUGAUUGAAAGAAUUAGUUACCGUAGGGAUAACAGCAUAAUCUCUCUUGAGAGACCUAAUCGAAAGAGGGGAUUGUGACCUCGAUGUUGGACUAGAAUAUCCUAAAGGUGCAGAAGUCUUUAAGG